UCUCCAGAGGCGGGCCCUGAGCCGGCACCUCCCCUUUCGGACAGCUCAAGGGGCUCAGCCAACUGGCUCACGCCUCCCCUUCAGCUUCUCUUCACGCACUCCAAGAUCUAAACCGAGAAUCGAAACUAAGCUGGGGUCCAUGGAGCCUGCACCCGCCCGAUCUCCGAGGCCCCAGCAGGACCCCGCCCGGCCCCAGGAGCCCACCAUGCCUCCCCCCGAGACCCCCUCUGAAGGCCGCCAGCCCAGCCCCAGCCCCAGCCCUACAGAGCGAGCCCCCGCUUCGGAGGAGGAGUUCCAGUUUCUGCGCUGCCAGCAAUGCCAGGCGGAAGCCAAGUGCCCGAAGCUGCUGCCUUGUCUGCACACGCUGUGCUCAGGAUGCCUGGAGGCGUCGGGCAUGCAGUGCCCCAUCUGCCAGGCGCCCUGGCCCCUAGGUGCAGACACACCCGCCCUGGAUAACGUCUUUUUUGAGAGUCUGCAGCGGCGCCUGUCGGUGUACCGGCAGAUUGUGGACGCGCAGGCUGUGUGCACCCGCUGCAAAGAGUCGGCCGACUUCUGGUGCUUUGAGUGCGAGCAGCUCCUCUGCGCCAAGUGCUUCGAGGCACACCAGUGGUUCCUCAAGCACGAGGCCCGGCCCCUAGCAGAGCUGCGCAACCAGUCGGUGCGUGAGUUCCUGGACGGCACCCGCAAGACCAACAACAUCUUCUGCUCCAACCCCAACCACCGCACCCCUACGCUGACCAGCAUCUACUGCCGAGGAUGUUCCAAGCCGCUGUGCUGCUCGUGCGCGCUCCUUGACAGCAGCCACAGUGAGCUCAAGUGUGACAUCAGCGCAGAGAUCCAGCAGCGACAGGAGGAGCUGGACGCCAUGACGCAGGCGCUGCAGGAGCAGGAUAGUGCCUUUGGCGCGGUUCACGCGCAGAUGCACGCGGCCGUCGGCCAGCUGGGCCGCGCGCGUGCCGAGACCGAGGAGCUGAUCCGCGAGCGCGUGCGCCAGGUGGUAGCUCACGUGCGGGCUCAGGAGCGCGAGCUGCUGGAGGCGGUGGACGCGCGGUACCAACGCGACUACGAGGAGAUGGCCAGUCGGCUGGGCCGCCUGGAUGCUGUGCUGCAGCGCAUCCGCACGGGCAGCGCGCUGGUGCAGAGGAUGAAGUGCUACGCCUCGGACCAGGAGGUGCUGGACAUGCACGGUUUCCUGCGCCAGGCGCUCUGCCGCCUGCGCCAGGAGGAGCCCCAGAGCCUGCAAGCUGCCGUGCGCACCGACGGCUUCGGCUUCGACGAGUUCAAGGUGCGCCUGCAGGACCUCAGCUCUUGCAUCACCCAGGGGAAAGAUGCAGCUGUAUCCAAGAAAGCCAGCCCAGAGGCUGCCAGCACUCCCAGGGACCCUAUUGACGUUGACCUGCCCGAGGAGGCAGAGAGAGUGAAGGCCCAGGUUCAGGCCCUGGGGCUGGCUGAAGCCCAGCCUAUGGCUGUGGUACAGUCAGUGCCCGGGGCACACCCCGUGCCAGUGUACGCCUUCUCCAUCAAAGGCCCUUCCUAUGGAGAGGAUGUCUCCAAUACAACCACAGCCCAGAAGAGGAAGUGCAGCCAGACCCAGUGCCCCAGGAAGGUCAUCAAGAUGGAGUCUGAGGAGGGGAAGGAGGCAAGGUUGGCUCGGAGCUCCCCGGAGCAGCCCAGGCCCAGCACCUCCAAGGCAGUCUCACCACCCCACCUGGAUGGACCGCCUAGCCCCAGGAGCCCCGUCAUAGGAAGUGAGGUCUUCCUGCCCAACAGCAACCACGUGGCCAGUGGCGCCGGGGAGGCAGGUAGGGAGAGGAACGCGUUGUGGUGAUCAGCAGCUCGGAAGACUCAGAUGCCGAAAACUCGUCCUCCCGAGAGCUGGAUGACAGCAGCAGUGAGUCCAGUGACCUCCAGCUGGAAGGCCCCAGCACCCUCAGGGUCCUGGACGAGAACCUUGCUGACCCCCAAGCAGAAGACAGACCUCUGGUUUUCUUUGACCUCAAGAUUGACAAUGAAACCCAGAAGAUUAGCCAGCUGGCUGCGGUGAACCGGGAAAGCAAGUUCCGCGUGGUCAUCCAGCCUGAAGCCUUCUUCAGCAUCUACUCCAAGGCCGUGUCCCUGGAGGUGGGGCUGCAGCACUUCCUCAGCUUUCUGAGCUCCAUGCGCCGCCCUAUCUUGGCCUGCUACAAGCUGUGGGGGCCUGGCCUCCCAAACUUCUUCCGGGCCCUGGAGGACAUUAACAGGCUGUGGGAAUUCCAGGAGGCCAUCUCGGGCUUCCUGGCUGCCCUGCCUCUCAUCCGGGAGCGUGUGCCCGGGGCCAGCAGCUUCAAACUCAAGAACCUGGCCCAGACCUACCUGGCGAGAAACAUGAGCGAGCGCAGCGCCAUGGCUGCCGUGCUGGCCAUGCGUGACCUGUGCCGCCUCCUCGAGGUCUCCCCGGGCCCCCAGCUGGCCCAGCAUGUCUACCCCUUCAGUAGCCUGCAGUGCUUUGCCUCCCUGCAGCCCCUGGUGCAGGCGGCUGUGCUGCCCCGGGCUGAGGCCCGCCUCCUGGCCCUACACAACGUGAGCUUCAUGGAGCUGCUGAGUGCACACCGCCGUGACCGGCAGGGGGGCCUGAAGAAGUACAGCCGCUAUCUAAGCCUGCAGACCACCACGUUGCCCCCUGCCCAGCCUGCUUUCAACCUGCAGGCUCUGGGCACCUACUUUGAAGGCCUGUUGGAGGGUCCGGCGCUGGCACGGGCAGAAGGAGUCUCCACCCCUCUUGCUGGCCAUGGCUUGGCAGAGAGGGCCUCCCAGCAGAGCUGAGAGGAGGGGGUGACCAGCUUGGAGUCUCUGGUGGGCAGAGAGGGAUGGGGUCCCUGAGCCAGGCCCCACCCAUCACAGCAUUCCCAGGUCCUGGUACCCAGCCCUCAGUUGUCAUUUGGUUCAGAAUCAGUUCCCUUUCUCUGGGACCAAAUUUCCCUUCUCUAAACAUCCUACAGAGAAGGUUCCAAAGCUGAGCACCCACCACCCUAGGUGUGCACCAGACUCCUAUUAGCCCCUCCUUCCAGGAGCUAGAACCAGGGAGGUCCUGAGUGAGGAAGGCAUGACCUCUGGGCUCUCUAGGUGGCCCUGGUCUUGCCCCAUCCAUCCCACCUGCCACUACCUUGGGUGUCCUUACAGCUCUGCCCUGACCCCAGCCCCUGCCCCUGGACACCUGCUGACAGCUCCCACACAGAACAGUCUGAGGUGAUGCUGGCUACAGCCCUGGCAGCCCAUGGCAACUCAAAGUGCCUUCCAAACCAAACUGCCCCUCAUGAGGUUAGGGUCCCCCACCCUCCACCUGCCCAGAGGCCAACUCUGUUCCCUUCUCCUUUCAUCCCAGAGGGGCCUCAUCAGCAAAGACAGAAACUGAUGUUCCAUGCAUGUCCCUGCUUCCAAAGCCUGACCUUCCAAAGCUUGCUUCCUUCCUCCUGGCUGCACAGACACCUCUGCUUGGCCACAGCUUUGCUCUUUGGUCCUCAGGCCACCAGACCCCUCACAGCAUGGCCCUUGGCUCUUCCUGCACUGCCCUCACCCUCAGCCGUCCCAAGGAAUGCCCAGCGCUACUCAGCAUGUAUUCCAGGACCUGCGGCAUCAGCAUCCCCUGGGAGCUUCUUAGAAAUGCAGACCUGUGGGCUCUACCACAGGCCUCUGGAAUCAGAAUCUUCAGGGUGGGGCCCAGCAGUCUGUGUUUUAACAGGUUCUCCCGGUGAUGCUGGUGCAUGCUCAAGUUUGAGAACCGCUGCUCUCAUAGACUGCUCCUCCAAGGGGAAGCAGUGUGGAACAGCAGAGAAAGUCCCGUCCCUAUCUCUGACUGUGCAGUGAGUGUGGCCUAGGAACAGGUCCCUUCCUAAGCUCUAGUGUCCCCAUCUGUAAAAUCGGCUGAUUGGCCUCCACGGUCAGAGCGGCCAUCUGGCUGUGCCAUCCUGCAUUUUUAGGAAUGGAAAGCAGGCCUCUGAGGCAGUGGACAGGAAGACUUCUCAUCCUUGAAUUCUAGCUCCCAUUCCAAACUGUUAGUCCCCAGCCUUGUGGUCACAUCAGAGGUCAACAGCAGAACAGAGGCAGGUCAGGGUUGUCCGCUCUGAUUAGCAGAACGACGGCCCCUUCCUCCUCCUCCCUCCUUCCCAUCCCUUCUCAUUAGCUCCCUGCUCCUGGGAUGCUUCCCAAGCAGCCCAGGCCUCUAGCCUCCAUGGCUGAUGACCUCAGCUUUCACACUGGUGAAAUCUGUGUACCCAUACUGCAGCCCCAUCCCAUGGGGCCCCUGAAGACCCACUGAGGAAUUCCAUAGGGUCUUGUUCCCACGACCGGAGUGCUGGCUCUCACAGUGAAUUUUGAUGCAUUUAAAAUAAGAUUCUGAUGCCAGACUGUUAAAACAGGCGCUGGUUCUGAAGCACCGAUGGAAACAGAUUGAUGCAGAUGGAAGGAGGAAGGGAGACUGGGCCCACUGAUUUCCAGCCCCACCAUGUGUGCUGUUUUCAGAUGUGAUUGAGGGGUGUUCUGCCCUGCCUCCACUGUCACAGCCUUUAAUAAAGAUGUGAAUCUUGAAA